rnacentral:rRNA from 1 species
AUGAGGGUCGCUGCUUGGUUGCGCACGUGCUGCGCGCCGCCGGGCCGCCGCUGUUUGCUCCGGGGCUGCGCGUCGCCGCACCGUUGCAGCUGCUUCCGUGCUGACGCUGCUUGCUCCGGGGCUGCGCGCCGCCGCGCCGUUGCUGCUGCUUGCGCGUUGACUCAGCUGCUUGUGCUCGUGUUGUGCGCCGCCACCGAGGCUCGUGCCCGUGCUGCUCGAGGCUGCGCUGCUGCUUGCUCCAGGGCCGAGGUCGGGGAGGCCACCGGGAGGCGCGCCGCCUGCUCAGGAAACAGAGAGGAGGGGGGAUGA